AGGUACCUCAGAUGAGUGGAAUUAUGCAGUAUUUGUCCUUUCAUGUGUACAACUAAUUUGACAGGCAGUAUGAUAAGGAACAAUCUGAAUGACACGUAAACAGGAGGGGGUAAAUUCCAAGCACAGCCUGAAUGAGAAGUAUAACUCAUUUCCCGUAACCUAGAUGCCUUUUUAACACAUCUAUGCAGUCUCCAUGUGAAACCAGGUGCUGUUCCCAAAGGAGAAAACACUGCCCUCCAGUGGUCUUCAAUGAAGAAAUGGAAAUAGUUUCAGGUACCAUGAUAGCAGCAUUUACAUGAAACAUGGUGUAUUUAUCUAGUCUCAGUUUUGGCUGUAUUUCUUAAGCUGAAACAUGUCUACAACUGAGCAUAAGGACAAAAUUUCCAAGAUAAAUUCUAAUAGGUGGAAACCAGGCUUCUUGGAAGAAUUCAAACUAUGCCAAAUGGUCUGAUUUCACCAUAGAGAAUGUUAUACUAUUAAUUGCCAAUUUGCAUAUGUGUGCAGCUGCUGUUUUGGCUCUGAACUCAAUCCGAUAAGCUUGCUGGAGGUAUCGCAGAGCACUUGGCAGCUUUCCUAUUUGAAAAGAAAGCCUCUCCCCUCUACAGAACAGCUGAUCGUCUAUCAGCGAUAGACC
rnacentral:antisense_RNA from 1 species